GUAAGGAAUAUUGGUCAAUGGGCGGAAGCCUGAACCAGCCAUGCCGCGUGCAGGACGACGGCCCUACGGGUUGUAAACUGCUUUUGCCCGGGAAUAACCCCCCGCUCUUGAGCGGGGCUGAACGUACCGGGAGAAUAAGGAUCGGCUAACUCCGUGCCAGCAGCCGCGGUAAUACGGAGGAUCCGAGCGUUAUCCGGAUUUAUUGGGUUUAAAGGGUGCGUAGGCGGCCUGUUAAGUCAGGGGUGAAAUACGGCAGCUCAACUGUCGCAGUGCCCUUGAUACUGACGGGCUUGAAUACCGGUGAAGGCGGCGGAAUGAGACAAGUAGCGGUGAAAUGCAUAGAUAUGUCUCAGAACCCCGAUUGCGAAGGCAGCUGCCUAACCGGCGAUUGACGCUGAUGCACGAAAGCGUGGGGAUCGAACAGGAUUAGAAACCCCAGUAGUCC
rnacentral:rRNA from 1 species